rnacentral:rRNA from 1 species
GGCGCACGGGUGCAUAACGCGUAUGCAACCUACCCAUAACAGUGGGAUAGCCCGGAGAAAUCCGGAUUAAUACCGCAUAAUAUUUAUAUAUGGCAUCAUUUAUAGAUAAAAGAUUUAUUGGUUAUGGAUGGGCAUGCGUAUGAUUAGUUAGUUGGUGAGGUAAUGCCUCACCAAGGCAACGAUCAUUAGGGGUUCUGAGAGGAAGGUCCCCCACACUGGUACUGAGACACGGACCAGACUCCUACGGGAGGCAGCAGUGAGGAAUAUUGGUCAAUGGGCGCAAGCCUGAACCAGCCAUGACGCGUGCAGGAAGACUGCCCUAUGGGUUGUAAACUGCUUUAAUACGGGAAUAAUAUCAGAUACGUGUAUUUGAAUGAAUGUACCGUAUGAAUAAGGAUCGGCUAACUCCGUGCCAGCAGCCGCGGUAAUACGGAGGAUUCGAGCGUUAUCAGGUUUCAUUGGGUUUAAAGGGUGCGUAGGCGGAUGCAUAAGUCAGUGGUGAAAUCCUGCAGCUCAACUGUAGAAUUGCCAUUGAAACUGUGUAUCUUGAGUAUGGACGAGGCAGGCGGAAUGUGUAAUGUAGCGGUGAAAUGCAUAGAUAUUACACAAAACCCCGAUUGCGAAGGCAGCUUG